rnacentral:lncRNA from 1 species
UUAAAGCAAAAUUACCUUCGAUUAAUCUCUCAAUAAUGUCUAAGUUGUUUACAAUGAAUGUUUUGAAAUCUAUUUAUAUUAAACUCUAAAAACCUAAUUAAAACGGAAAAGAAUAUUAAAAGAUUACAAAGAUACCAAAAAAUUAGUGUUUUAACAAAACUAAGAAACUUUUGUGAAAAGGGACAAAAUUGGUGUUGGAAUCAACCAUGCAGUCACAUAGUAUCUCCAGAUGUGGUCGCACAGACCAAGCUAAUUCCAAUUCCUUUGUCUCGGUAAAUAGGCAUGCGACCGUAAGCCUAUUUUGACUAUUCGAUCGCAUAUGUGGAAACUCCAUGCCCUCCAUCCAUUGCUUGAAUUAAAUUGAACCAACUUGUUUCUUCCUUUGACCCCAACAUGAAGCUUGUUGAUUUGUUCGUUGUAAUCAAUGUUUCAUCCACCGUGGUUUGAACAAACAAUCACAUCGCUUCUUUAACCCGCUUUGCUCGCGAUCGAGUCAUCGGCACUUCUUCGACAAUCAACGGGUCUUUGCUUGGAUUUGUAUUCAUUGCUUGUAUCACAUCGUGCAUCUUUUUUCCACAGUUAAAAACAAACUGACAUUUUCUUAGGUAACACAUUACAAGAUAUUCACAAUUCAAGUGUGUUGCCAUGCAUAUGCAAACAAUAAUAUUAAUCUCAUCUCUUCUACCAUAUGAAAAGAAGAGCCAACGAAACAACAAAAGAAGUUCUUACUUGUCACUGUCUGAACGUGACAAUGUAUAUGUUUGUCUCAAUAGGUUGUCCUGUGAAUAGCACAUUUAUAAUCCAUCACAUGAAUUUCAAAUUGUAAGUGUUCUGAUCCACCCGAACUUCCCGUGCAAGCUCCUCAAGUUCAAGUAUGAUGUACAAAUCAAGGGUUAAUAACCCAAAUGGUCACUGAACUUUGCAAAUAAUUUUCAAGGGAACACUGAACUUUAAAAAUUACUCAAAUCAUCACUGAACUUUGCAUAAAAUUUCCACGAGUUCACUGAAUUUUAAAAAUAUUGCAUUUAUCACUAAACUUUGCAAAAUGUUUUCACGAGGUCACUAAACUUUGCAAAGUUCAGUGA